UUUUUCAUUUCCCUCUCCCUUAUCUUUUGGUUUCCCUCUCUCACCAAACCCUAAGCCCCCUCCUUCAUUCCGCUUCGCAAUGGCGAACCCCAACCCCCUUCUUCCUCCGCCACAUCACCCAAACCCUCCCCUCCUUCUCUCCCUCCGACUCCCUCGCCUUCCUCCACCUCUUUCGUUCAUACUCGGCGCAAUGCAACUCGCGGAAGGCGAAGGAAUCGAACCCGGCGUGCAAAGUGGAGGUGAAGCGCGGAAGGGAAGAGCGUCCGCCGCAGAUAACGGUGACCUUUGAGCAAGUCUUCGACGCCACCUCCACGCCCGCUCAGAGCAUAAGAAGCCUCAUUCUGAAAAAGGGUCAAUACUUCGAGACCGAGCAGAUGUUCCGCGAAGCAGGCGAAUCCUGGCCCGUUAUCAUCCCCAACCAAGAGCUUUCCCAGACCGCACCCCCCACCAAAGUGCGUUUCCAAUUUAUUUUUUUAUGACAAGCAUUUACUAAAUGGUGCUGUUCUCCGGCGAGUUGGAGGUUGCCGCUGACGAAGACGAGCAUGCAGGCGUUGACGCCGGAGGGCUGGCAGUCGACGGUGGAGAUGGAGUGGUGGCACUGCUGGAAAGGGAGGGAAGUGAGUUUGGU